AAACUGUCAACUCUUAACAGUAUAUCCAUUAUGUAUCUCAACCUAAUAAAUUCUGUGACUCUUUACAAGAACUGUCCUGGUCAAAGUCUUACUAAAUUAAAAUACAAAAUAUUCUCUCCAAUCCUUCGGAGUGGUUAAUUCUAUCUUGACUCAAGUAUCGAAUUCAUAAGUACUUGACUGUGUCCAAAAAUCUUUCAAUCUUGAAUUAGAAAUUCAAGUAGUCUAGCACCAAAGUAUAGUGAGUUGCUUGUAAGUCACUAUAGUGAUCUC
rnacentral:lncRNA from 1 species